rnacentral:rRNA from 1 species
AGAAUCAACGCUGGCGGCGUGCCUAACACAUGCAAGUCGAACGAGAAAGUGGAGCAAUCCAUGAGUAAAGCGGCGCACGGGUGAGUAACACGUGACUAACCUACCUUUUAGUGGGGGAUAACCUAGGGAAACCUGGACUAAUACCGCAUAACACUUACGAGUCAAAGCAGCAAUGCGCUGGAAGAGGGGGUCGCGGCCGAUUAGCUAGUUGGUGGGGUAAAAGCCCACCAAGGCGACGAUCGGUAGCUGGUCUGAGAGGACGAUCAGCCACACUGGAACUGAAACACGGUCCAGACUCCUACGGGAGGCAGCAGUGGGGAAUUUUGCGCAAUGGGGGAAACCCUGACGCAGCAACGCCGCGUGGAGGAUGAAGCCCCUUGGGUGUAAACUCCUUUCGAUCGGGAAGAUAAUGACGGUACCGAUAUAAGAAGCCCCGGCUAACUUCGUGCCAGCAGCCGC